rnacentral:rRNA from 1 species
CCCUUAGAUGUUCUGGGCUGCACGCGCGCUACACUGAAGCUAUCAACACGUUUUCCCUCCCUGAGAAGGGCGGGUAACCUUCUGAAUCAGCUUCGUGGUAGGGAUCGGGGCUUGCAAUUGUUCCCCGUGAACCAGGAAUUCCUAGUAGACGCGAGUCAUAAGCUCGCAUCGAUUAAGUCCCUGCCCUUUGUACACACCGCCCGUCGCUACCACCGAUUGAACGUUUUAGUGAGGCAUUUGGACCGACGCAUCUCAGUUUAACCGCUGGUUUGUGUUGGAAAGACUUCCAAACUUGAGCGUUUAGAGGAAGUAAAAGUCGUAACA